CACACACACACAGAGAAACAGACACACACACACACACACACACAGAAACAGACACACACAGAAACACACACACACAUAGAAACAGACACACACACACACACACACACACACACACACACACACACACUCACCAAUGAAAACAAAUCUUUAAAAUUACAAUGACCUGAAAUUUUUCAAAGAGCCCAUGGGAUCAUCUCAGCGAUGGAGGGUCCAAGACCAGAAAACCUCUAAUUUUGUAUUUAAAGUAUAAGGAAUUAUGAGAACUACUGUAUUCCUUCACAGGAACACAGGUGAUUAAAUAAAGAAGGAGAUGGUGAGAGCAAACCCUAACUAGUGUAAAAUUUCCCCCAAGUUUUCCUUCUUUCCCCCAUUUUGUUUUAUUUGUGGUCCUGGGGCUUGCACCUACAUCCUAUUCCUCUGGCCAAGUGUUCACUCACCCAGCUACUCAGCUACACGCCCAUCUCCUCCUCCAUUGCUUUGUGAAAGAAAUGACAUCUGCCCCAAGUAGAAUGUAGAUAUACACAUACACAACUCAUACUUAAAAUUAUCGUUUCUCCUAUACAUAUAGAUUCACUUGCGUUUGUCAUGGUGUUAUGCAAAGAUCACACAUGGAAAAUAUUUGUAAUAUAAUUUUAUUCUGAGAGAAGAAGUUAAAUAUUUAUUUCAAUAGUUGCCUUAAGGUUUUUUAUUUUAGUUUAAUGAAAUAUAAUUCUCAAAAUCAAAGCGAUCAAAACAAAAACCAAAAAAAUACAGUACACUUCCUGCUGCCAAGGAUUUUGUUGUACGGCACCCCCUGGAGAAGAUUUCCUCCUCCAGGUCAUUGUCAGGCUCCUUGGUUUUUCUUCUUUGGGGAGAAGUGAUCUAAGAGAGCAAUGAGUUUGAGCUACACGUAUGGUAACUACAUCAAAGCUUAGUCGGGCUGGAGGGUUGACCACGGGAAAACCACGGUUGCUAUGUAGAGAAGCAGGGCUCAGAUCUCACACCCAUCGAGCAAGCUGGGUAUCCCACACCUGCCUGCAAUUCCAGUGCCCAAAGAUCCAAUAACUUCUCCUGACCUACACAUGAACACCCAUGUAUGCAUACACACAGGCAUCCACACAAUUAUACACAUGCAUGUGUGUGCAUACACACACACACGUGCACACACCUUUUGAAAAAGCCUUGGUCAAGCAUGUAUGGUGUGAUGUAUGAUGCACAUUUUAAAUGCAUGUGACACAUAGCCUUUCCAUCCUGCAUCAGCUUCACUUGCCAAUAUUAUUCCUGUCAUUAAAUAAUGGCUAAUGUCACAUAGAUGCACCCUUAUGGUGUAUCCAAUCCUUAUUCUCCUUCCUAUCCAUGUGACCUUUAAAAGUUUCUGUUUAAAGCCUAGGCUUUGGCUCUAUUUUCUUUUAGGGAAAAAUUCCAAAUUCCAUAUAGAGUGUAUCUGUCCAGAUUUAAGUGACCUUCUGAAGACAAGGAGAAGCAAAUAUUCUGGGUGAACUGGUGAGGACAUGAGAUGCAUGGGAAGCCAGGGGCAGGAAUUGUGGUACCUCCACAGACCCAUGGCUUUCUGAAACCAGCUCCAACAAUGUAACUGUAUACAGGUGCAGCUGAAUUUGUCCCUCUAUUCGUUAAAGCGAGAGAGAGAGAGAGAGAGAGAGAGAGAGAGAGAGAGAGAAAGAGAGAGAGAUAUUUCAUACUCCCUUCCAUCAGUGGGACCAGCCAACCAGUCCAGCAGUGAAAUGUGAGAGAGACAAGACUGAGGAUUCCAGAUUGAAAUAAAGAGCUAGAAACAACGUUGGGAGGAUAGAGGGGACCAAGAGGAGGAGGAGGCUUGCUGCCCAAUCAGGAGGAAGGAGGAAAGAUGGAAGAAGAAGAUAAGGAGGAGGGUGAGGAAAAAGAGGAUGAGGGAGAAGGGGAGGAAGAGGGUUAAGUAGGAGAGGAAGAAGAAAAGGAAUGAAGAGGAGGAGG
rnacentral:lncRNA from 1 species